rnacentral:tRNA from 1 species
CUUUUUAAUAAAAUUUAAUUAAUUAUAUAAAAUA